AUAACAGGCUGAUCUCCCCCGAGCGUCCACAGCGGCGGGGAGGUUUGGCACCUCGAUGU
rnacentral:rRNA from 1 species